CGAGCAAGAGCGACCGCGCGGCCGCUGGUCAUGGUCGAUUUACGGGCAGUGCCAACUUUUAGUGGACCAUCGCGUAAGUGGACCUUCCAGCGACCUAAUCGUAAGUGCCUCUUCAUUGCUGGUGCGCGCACCCGUCCGGCAGAUAGCACUCGAUGAAAGAAAAAGGACCAAGAGUGUGCGUGCUCUUAACCGAUCAGAACUGCACGACAACUAAUGGCCUCGCCGAGACACGUGACUCACUCUCGCCGUUUCGUGCAAACACCUAACGAUUAACAUUCCGGCUUUCGGAGAUGUUUGCUUCAAUGAAGCACGCGUUACGUCGACGGAUAAGAGUGGAAAAACGCGCAACGGUCGAUAUUGGUUUCGCUGGGCUGCCGUGAGUGGUGAUACACUCUUUAAAUUUCUGGCGGUGGAAUCUCACUGAAAACGAGUGAAAAAUGAUGUUCCCUGCCAGUCAGAGAAGAAGUUCACGAACGUAAGCAGAUAUAAUGUUCCGACGAGUCGGGUGGCAUUUCGACACGCGCCUAUCGCCAACGUCGCCGAUCAUCCGGAAUAUUAACGGGCAAAAAUACGAAAGGACAGCCGUAAGAUGGUGAGAUAUUUAUUUCAUCUGGAGAACGCGGGAAGUUUCCAAGAUAAGACGCUAAAAUAACGAGGCGCGCGUUCGAGAGCUCUGUCCGCACUGGAAAUAAGAAUCGCGAAUAAUCGCGUGCCUUUCGGCAGAAAAGAAAUAUUGCGUGUGUCGAUUCUGACAGUAAUUACUGCGGCGCACUCGAGCUAGCGCGACGCGAGGUUUCCAAGGUGGAUCUAAAGUCUACGGACUUACUUGGCGAGCGUUCGCUCUCCUGCGCGGGCACCUCCGCUUCCUCCACGUCCACGAGGCUGCGGAUGCUGAAGACGCUUUUGGCCACUCGGGUCUUCUGCAGGUCGCCGACGCCCUCUGUGGCCCUUCUGGGCGUCGUGCUGAGGUCCAUCGUUGGUAUUCGCGUAAUUUUGCCACACAACGACGACGACGACGACCACCACCACUACUACCACCACCACCACUACGAGUGUCCGGGAUAACGGACGGCAGACGAGAUAGGAGCCUGCACGGCUCACGUUUUCUCACUGAAAUCACGCCGAUUUCCUCGUCGUCGGCGUUCCCUUCCGCAUCUUCGUUCGUGUGGCUCUCAUUAAUCUUCGCGAGGAAAGAAGUCGUGAACUUUUCUUCGUUUGUCUUCUUCUGCGAUUUCUUUUCGCCGAUAUUCACGCGAUUCGGAUUUUUGAAUGUUUCGAACUUUGAUGCAGGAAGAAUCUAAUUUGCAGUCUAGUGGUCGUCGUCAGGUGGUGACCGUGUCGUGGUCUCUUCUUUCGAGCACUUUGAGUCGUGACACGAGUCACAUGCAAGUUACACUCAAGCCAGAUAACGCAUUCUCGUCUGUCCGACGCAACACUUCCGGUAACUCGAAGAUAAGUGGAUCUCUGGUUUUUCCGUGGUCCCACCGGUUCUCAGGGACGAACGGGGACUCGAGUAUUUCGUGAUUGAGAAAUUGAUGAGUGUCGCGCACAUAAUCGACGUUAUUGUACGCACUUUUUUUCCACCGUGGUUGCACAGGCUGGCCAGUUAUCUUCGAGUGUCCAGUGAUCGCGUCAUCUGUAUGAAAUUUUCUUGUGAUUUACCUUUGUCUCUCUCUCUCUCUCUCUCUCUCUCUCUCUCUCUCUCUCUCUCUCUCUCUCUCUCUCUCUGUUUCAGGAUACGAUGGAUUCGAUCAUCGCUUUGUCCGCUGAUGAGGAUCGCGCCUUCGCGUCAGAACAAAAACGCGCGAUAAUGAUCGCCGAUCAACAACACUCUUGCGUCCGACAAGCAAUUCAACCGCGUGUCAACGAUUCCGUCGGCCGGCAACGGCGCGAUAUCGCUACGAUUGUUAUCAGGAGAACGUAUCAUCGCAGUCUGGCGAGUCGUGUGAGGUCACUACUGCCGAUCUCAUAAACACACGCGCACGCACCCACGUACCUAUGUUCGAGCAGGUCCACGAUGCCGCAUGCGUGGGUGUUGAUGUCACAUGGGAGCAGCACGCUGAUUCCUCGUCGACGACUCUACGGGCGACGUGCUCCUUCUGACGCGUGCUAAGUGCUCGAGAACAAGCGGAUAAGCGUCGGCAAGGUUCUCCGAUCAGUUACGGCGAGGCUCGAGCAGCCGGCGACUCGACAGCCGGUUCGACAGCUCCGUCAUGACAACCGUCGGGACAACACACGCUUGAGAAGCGAGAACGAGGAGCGCGCGGCGGCACACGCGUAUCGCGAACUCCUGGCCGGCAAUGUGCGCCGCCGUGUUCCCUCCACCUCGAGGAGGUCGAUCGCUCGCCGCUGCCCAAGGUGAUACCAGGUGGUAGAGGGGAAGGUGCAGGAGAGAGAAUCUGCAGACCGCCUUCGUGGAACAAAAUGGAGUUGAAAGCAGUCUGAAACUCCGCCCAUCGGGAUACACCCACGGUUGGCAACCGCCACGAGGAGGGUUGACAGACGACUGUUCCCUUCCCUUUCUCUCGAGGACUGUUCCUCUUGGAGAGAGAGAGAGAGAGAGAGAGAAAAAGAGAGAGAGAGAGAGAGGAGAACUCGAGUAUACUGGUCGAUGCCUCGAUGCACACGCUCCGACAUCUCGAGAUACGUUCAUCUCAAGUUACCGAGUUCAACUCGAGAGUUGCUUGUUAAUUAUAAGUACUAAUUUUGGACUAUCAUUUUUAGUCGUUUAUUUUUAUUUUUUUUAAAUCCGUAUACUGAGAGAAAAAAAUAUCUAAGAAAUAUUUAUUAAGAGACAGUUGAGUACUGAUAAUAUAUUUACUUGUACACAGGAAACAAACUUGGUUGA